rnacentral:rRNA from 1 species
GUCCACGCUGUAAACUAUGAGUGCUAGGUGUAGGGGGUAUCGACACCCUCUGUGCCGCAGCAAACGCAAUAAGCACUCCGCCUGGGGAGUACGGUCGCAAGACUAAAACUCAAAGGAAUUGACGGGGGCCCGCACAAGCAGCGGAGCAUGUGGUUUAAUUCGAAGCAACGCGAAGAACCUUACCAGGGCUUGACAUCUGCAGAACACCUAAGAGAUUAAGUGGUGCCCUUCGGGGAACUGCAAGACAGGUGGUGCAUGGUUGUCGU